GACGAACGCUGGCGGCGUGCCUAAUACAUGCAAGUCGAACGCAGUGGGGACGGGUGAGUAACACGUGGGUAACCUCACAUGAGAGGGGAUAACACUUGGCAAAAGGUGCUAAACUGAUACUGAUGGAUGGACCCGCGGUGUAUUAGCUAGUUGGUGAGGUAACGGCUCACAAAGGCAACGAUGCAUAGCCGACCUGAGAGGGUGAUCGGCCACACUGGGACUGAGACACGGCCCAGACUCCUACGGGAGGCAGCAGUAGGGAAUCUUCGGCAAUGGACGAAAGUCUGACCGAGCAACGCCGCGUGAGUGAAGAAGGUUUUCGGAUCGUAAAACUCUGUUGUUAGAGAAGCGGUAUCUAACCAGAAAGCCACGGCUAACUACGUGCCAGCAGCCGCGGUAAUUC
rnacentral:rRNA from 1 species